rnacentral:rRNA from 1 species
AAUGAACGUUGGCGGCGUGGAUUAGGCAUGCAAGUCGAGCGAGAACCCAGCAAUGGGGGACAGCGGCGCAAGGGACAGUAAUGUGUAGAUUAUCUGCCCUCGGGCCCGGGAUAGCUGCGGGAAACUGCAGGUAAUACCGGAUAACAUCUCCGGAUCAAAGGUGUGAUUCCGCCCGAGGAUGAGUCUGCAUCCUAUUAGCUAGUUGGCAGGGGAAUGGCCUACCAAGGCGAUGAUGGGUAGCGGGUGUGAGAGCACGACCCGCGUCAUUGGGACUGAGACACUGCCCAGACACCUACGGGUGGCUGCAGUCGAGAAUCUUCGGCAAUGGGCGCAAGCCUGACCGAGCGACGCCGCGUGUGGGAUGAAGGCCUUCGGGUUGUAAACCACUGUCAGAGGGGAUGAAAUGCAGGUGGGUUCUCCCAUCUGUUUGACAUAGCCUCAGAGGAAGGACGGGCUAAGUUCGUGCCAGCAGCCGCCGUAACAC